UGCUGACAAAGCUCUCCAAGGGCUGGAGGUUUUACGGUGGGAACCUCUAUUACUUUUCACAUGAAAAAAAGUCGUUUGAUGAGGCUGAGCAGUUCUGUGUGUCUCAGGACUCGCACCUGACCUCUGUCUCCUCCCAGGCGGAACAGGAGUUUCUCUCCAACGAGACCAAGGGAGAAGAUCACUGGAUUGGACUCACCGACCGGGAGACAGAAGGCAGCUGGCGCUGGGUGGACGGCACAGAAUACAGAGCAGACGCAAGCAGGGGGUUCUGGGAGGAGAAUCAGCCAGACAACUGGGAUCAGGGGACAGGAGGCAGAGAAGACUGUGUUGAGUCCCGCUCAAGCAAUCAGAAUUUGUGGAAUGAUGCCAACUGCACUCUGCUUUUCAAGUGGAUUUGUAAGCAGGCGCAGGGACAGGCUGGGCUGUGACAUGCAGGUCUCAGCAUGUCAAACAGCACCUUAAUUUCCAAGCUAGAAUAUUUCCCAGCCAGCUGCCGAUGAGGAGCCCUUUACACUGGAGGGGCCGCAUGGGAUUGGCAUUGCAGGGGGAGCCCCCAGGAGGAAUCCUGGAUGAACAAGCCAGAAUUCCUCCUAGUGGCUUCUAGGCGCAUGUGGCAAAGGACUAGCUCCACCAGCCUCUGGGAGGGUGUGGUGAGCUCCGAGCUCACUUCCACCUACCACUCAGGGAGCUGCCAACAAUGAGGAAGAACAGCAUUUCCCAAUGAGAUUCUGGUCAGCUCCUGCUCCCAGAGCUUGUGGUUGAGCUACAGCAUGGAUUCUAAAAAGCCAUCCAAUCUUGAGCAAUGACAGUCUCUAAAGGCACUCCGUCUUUACUAUGAGGGGCAGACACGAACAGAGAGAGAGAAUAUUUCCUCCCCCUUUGCUCUGCUCAUCUCAUCCUUUACAUCACUAGUUGCCUCCUCUAUGAUGACACUCAACUCCGCCUCCUGUGGUGCCACCCUGGGACUUUCUUUUUCUAUCUUCAGACUGCGAGUAGCUUCUGCACUGCUAACUUCCUCUUUUGAUUCUCCCUGUGGCUUCUAGCUCCGCUUCUAAAGGUACUGCGUCAGCCUGAGCUAAUUCUCUCACCCUGCUUCUCGUAAUUGGCCCUGCAGAUUUUUCUGUCUCUGUCGGUUCCACCAUGUCAGUAGGGAUGGGAACCAAUUCUUAUACUCGUCUAACACAUCUCUUACCUUUUUCAACUCUCUGAUUCUUUUUAACAGCUGACCACAGUCUGAUUUAUAGCCAUCCAGCGAUUUUAAGCUGGCAUCCAAAAUUUGCUGGGCUUUUCUGAGUAACUCUAAUUUUUUUAUUUAAUUUCUUUCCCAGCGAACUAUAAACUAUGAACAGACAUUCAAUAGCUAUUCCUUUCACCAGUUCAGCCUUUCUUUUUUUUUUCUGCUUUGUUUCUACAUCAAAUACUUCACUCACAAAACCCCAUGGAUUACAAUGCUCAGAUAUCAUCUCAGUUGUACUAAAUCCCCUCCAUGAUCCUGAAUGUAUUUUUUAGCAAAGUUUCCUAGAGCCAUACUGUGGGCAACUUCAACAGACUCUACUCUUGCCCUUACGUCACUUACCUUACCAUGUAACAUAGAACUCAUUUGAAUUCUAACACUUCACUAACUUAUGUAAUAAACUAUAAUGAAUAC